AAGGGAACAAAUUCUUGAACGCAACGAAAGUUAUUUAAUGAUCAUCUCUUAGCUUGUUUUUCAAGGACCGUUUUCCACUUUAUUUACUAAUUACAGAGUUUCUGAGAGUAUUAAAAGCACCUAUCUUCUGCUGUGUUUUCAGACAGGAACAACCCCUCAAACUCAACCCCCUUUUCAGGAAAUACCAACUUUCCAACAUCUCGUGAUUAAAAUCGUAAGACAAAUAUUUGAAAUUUGAACUAACCUUCACUUUGUUAUAUAAUUUGAAAUGCUCUAAACCUUUUCGAAAGCACGAUGCGUGCGUACCGGGAACUCUUGACCUUCUUACAACCCUCUCCUUUUCAAAGCGCACUAGCGAACUACUCUCGGGUAAAUACUCUUUGUUGAGUGUUUUGGGAGGUCCUGGCAUUAAAACACUGGGACCCGAUGUAUGAACGCACUAUUGCUUAGAUUUUGUGACUCAGAUGGGCACAGGCCAUGUAUUGAUUAUUUUGCAAUUAGUUGUAAACAGUUAACUUAUUUUGAUAUGAAAGGUAAAUUUGAAAAGCACGUUCUGGAUAAUUGUGUAGACUUUUAACUCUAGACAAAACGACUAGUACUUCAGAACGUAAUUACUGGAUAACGAGCAGGCAAGAGUUCAGUGGAACUGAUAAUAAUUUAAGAACCCUUUCUUUAUAAUAUAAUGACAAAUUAUAGAACAUAUUCGUUGUUUUCUAUUGAAAAUAAAGUCAAAUGUCGUAGAGUUGGUUAAAAUCCCUCGUGGGGCGGCUUCAUGUUUGCCCAAAUUUCAGCAGGAAUUAUGUAUGACACAGGGAAUAAUUGAGAAUUACCCCAUUUCAGCAAACCGUCUUAAGGCACAAUAUUAAUAAUUCAAGGUUCAUUGUGAACACGUCAAUUACUCUAAUGUCACCACGUUGAUGUUUAUGUUAAUAUUGAAAUAGUGGCUUUUCAUGUUUUCCUGUUAUUGGAAGCGUCUUUUUUCAGCAUUUUAGCAGUACAAUGUAACAAAAUGAGAGACUGGGAAGGCAGUGAGAAUUGUAUUGUUGAAUUGUUGGAUUUUACAAUUCACUUCGAUCGUGUUUUCAUGCACUUUCAAAAAUCUAUAUCAGACUGAUUUGUUUGCGUACGAGCUUGGUGAAUUUAAAGUUUGUGAAAUAAAAUGGAAUUGCUUAUUGAAGUUUUCGUUCGACAGGGAAUCUAGAAAACAACUACAAAAGCACGUUCAAGCUAACAAAUAAUUUUAAUUCAAACUGUCGCUUAUGUGCUACAUAUCGUUUUAGAGCGGAUCUGUGGCUUUAAUUCUUUCAGAUAUUUUCGCUCCACCGCUUACAAUGUUUACCGGAGUUGAGAUCAAAAUCACUUCAUUCCUGCUGUCGAUGGCGUGUCUGCUGACUGUAAAUGCAAGAAUUCUAAGCUACUCGAUUACACAGCGCUCUUGCACAGUUUGGCGAAUUAGCAGUCCUUUGUUCGCGGAUUCCAUUGAAAUAAAGCGGCCAUUCAGUGGUUAUUAUUAGAAUGAAAAAAGACCCUCAUCUGAACCACACUGCAGCAUAAAAUUAACGAUGCGUGUGCGACCCACAUUUCGAAGAUUAAGACGUUGUCCUUGGCACCAGUACAACCACAGGGCGCGAUUGUGAGUGCUAAUUCAGCGAGGAGCUGCACUGAGAAACAGCAUUGAAGUCUCUUGAACACGUCCAGUUCAUUUGAAUACACCAGGUGUUCUCAUUAUUUAAGACUCCCCGCAUGUGCAGGAUUCUAUUACGAUUGUAAGCUCGCAAUACGCAGCAACUCCUCGUGUGUAAAGGGUGCACCGAUAAUCAAAAUCAGCGAAAAAAUUGCGUUUUACUGUCGCCUCUCCAAAACCAUUUAGAAAGUAAUUAAACUCAAGACCGAUUUUGCACAAAAGCAGUCGACGUGAUUUCUAAUUUCAUUAGAGACUGGAUGGAGAAAAAAUGAAAAAUCACCGAGGAACGAAAGUAAUCAUUCUUUAAUCAUUUAACUCGAAAGGGCGACUAACGUUAUAAAUACCGGUAAUUAAAAAAGUCGGUCCGAUUGUUCGCGUGAUCGGAAAUCCCAUUAAUUUUAACUCUUUCGUCGGGGGUGAGUUGGAGUUAUUAAAUAAUGCGAGGAAGUCGAAGGAAAAAUCCCUUCCGGAACGCAAAAAGCAACACACCGGCGCAUAUUUUUCAAAAUCACUGAGGGGUCGUUCGGGCUUUAUCUCGCUUGAAUUGAGAGUUCGAAAUUUCGGAUUGUGAUGACGGCGUUUACAAAUGUUGAUUCCAGUUCUACCCCAGCGUCUAUAAAACUGAUGUAUCGUUUUCAAUAAGCAUUUCCUAUGCAUACGUGCCGGUAGUUUAAAUAAAUAUGCUGUCAAAUUUUAUUGUUGUUAUUUUUCUUUUUUAUUGUCAUAUUGCUCCUAAUAAAAAUAUACAUUUUUAUUUUGUCUUUUACACGCUGCUGUGUAUUAUGGAAAUAUGGCUUCGAUCUAUGAAUUAUGUCUGCCAUGUGUACAAAUCGCUAUGAAAUAUCUCCCUAUUUACAUUCAAGGUGAUGAUAAAUUGGAAUAUCGUAUCGUGGCGUCUUCACUGAUGCGUUUCCGAAUUUACUUGUAAAUAAAACGUCAAAUUUAAACGUAUUCAUUUUUUAAAUAGGUGUGCGGGGGUUCUGAACCAUGAAAAUAGAUCGCCUCAUACUGAAAAUUUAAUUGUGUAACACGACGCUCUGACAAACAGGGAGGCGGAUAAAAAAUUUGAACAAGAAUUAGUUCUUUUAUUCAGGAAAUGACUUUACUCCCCGACUGUCUAAAGUUACAGUUACAAUUAAACAGUGGAAUUUUAGAUUCCAGUCAAAAUUUAAAAUAAAAUCGCGAAGGCGGAACUACAACAUUAGAGCACGCAAACUCAUAAAAUUUAAAACAUACCAGACUGUCCGAAUAUUUAAGGAUUCAUUUUGAGUAUGUGACAUC